rnacentral:lncRNA from 1 species
UUGUACAAAAACCUACAUAGCUGUAAUGAAAAACAUAAAAUGGGUGCAACAAUUAGGAACAGAGUGUCAUAACAGAACACAAUUGUAAUUAUGACAUUUUUAUGUGACUUUGGAUUAAAUGACAGUAAACAAGCAACUGAAACGAUGAAACAAGCCUUGGAGAUUGUUUUUGCGAUUGGCUAUUCGAGCCUCUGUUGCAAUAGAUAACCAGUGUGUCUUGCACCUUAGUAAAAGCAUUACCAAAAACCCACUCAUAUGGAACUUGCUCUGUGGAACAAUACUUGCUGGCCAUCUCUUCCUUUUCAGAUGGAAACUUUACAUCAAACACACGUGUUGAUUUUAUUACAGCAAAUAAUUGAAGGUCGAAGACUCGGAGCAGCCAACCCCCACCCCUUUUCGUAGCAUAUAUCAGGAUAUCCCUCUAUCUGAGAAAUUAGAAAUCUGAUAAAGAAAGAAAACGAUGCCAUAGGCCAUUUUAUUUAACCAUCAGUCUAUCACAAUAUAAACCAAGACAUCAAAUUAGGAACAGAGUGUCAUAUAAACCCACCUUUAACUUCAUUCGAAGGGAAUGAACUGGAUGGCUAGUGUUCUCGCAGUGCAUCUUUUCAUUGAUCUCUCUUUAUCAAGAGGAAU